UGGGGAAUCUUGCGCAAUGGGCGAAAGCCUGACGCAGCGACGCCGCGUGAGGGAUGACGGCCUUCGGGUUGUAAACCUCUUUCAGCUCCGACGAAGCGUAAGUGACGGUAGGGGCAGAAGAAGCACCGGCCAACUACGUGCCAGCAGCCGCGGUAAUACGUAGGGUGCAAGCGUUGUCCGGAAUUAUUGGGCGUAAAGAGCUCGUAGGCGGUCUGUCGCGUCGGCUGUGAAAACUCGGGGCUCAACUCCGAGCUUGCAGUCGAUACGGGCAGGCUAGAGUUCGGCAGGGGAGACUGGAAUUCCUGGUGUAGCGGUGAAAUGCGCAGAUAUCAGGAGGAACACCGGUGGCGAAGGCGGGUCUCUGGGCCGAUACUGACGCUGAGGAGCGAAAGCGUGGGGAGCGAACAGGAUUAGAUACCCCCGUAGUCC
rnacentral:rRNA from 1 species